rnacentral:rRNA from 1 species
CUACGGGUUGCUCCAGUGGGGAAUCUUGCGCAAUGGGCGAAAGCCUGACGCAGCAACGCCGCGUGCGGGAUGAAGGCCUUCGGGCUGUAAACCGCUUUCAGCAGGAACGAAAAUGACGGUACCUGCAGAAGAAGGAGCGGCCAACUACGUGCCAGCAGCCGCGGUGACACGUAGGCUCCAAGCGUUGUCCGGAUUUAUUGGGCGUAAAGAGCUCGUAGGCGGUUGAGUAAGUCGGGUGUGAAAACUCUGGGCUUAACCCGGAGACGCCAUCCGAUACUGCUCUGACUUGAGUUCAGGAGGGGAGUGGGGAAUUCCUAGUGUAGCGGUGAAAUGCGCAGAUAUUAGGAGGAACACCGGUGGCGAAGGCGCCACUCUGGACUGAAACUGACGCUGAGGAGCGAAAGCAUGGGUAGCAAACAGGAUUAGAUACCCUAGUAGUC